ACCUGGGUAGCUCAGUUGGUUAGAGUGUGGUUCUGAUAAUGCCAAGGUUGCAGGUUCGAUCUCUGUAUGGGACA